rnacentral:rRNA from 1 species
AUACGUAGGUGACAAGCGUUAUCCGGAUUUACUGGGCGUAAAGGGCGUGUAGGCGGUCUUGCAAGUCAGAAGUGAAAUUCCUGAGCUCAACUCGGGCGCUGCUUCUGAAACUGCAGGACUUGAGUGCUGGAGGGGAUAGCGGAAUUCCUAGUGGAGCGGUAAAAUGGGCAGAUAUUAGGAAGAACACCGGUGGCGAAGGCGGCUAUCUGGCCAGUAACGGACGCUGAGGCGCGAAAGCGUGGGGAGCAAACAGGAUUAGAUACCCUUGUAGUCCACGCCGUAAACGAUGAAUACUAGGUGUAGGGGGUAUCGACUCCCUCUGUGCCGCAGUUAACACAAUAAGUAUUCCGCCUGGGGAGUACGGCCGCAAGGUUGAAACUCAAAGGAAUUGACGGGG